UACAGAGGGGGCAAGCGUUAUUCGGAAUUAUUGGGCGUAAAGGGCGCGUAGGCGGCCAUUCAAGUGACGGGUGAAAGCCCUCGGCUUAACCGAGGAACUGCCUGUCAGACUGGAUGGCUUGAGACCGGGAGAGGUGAGUGGAAUUCCCAGUGUAGCGGUGAAAUGCGUAGAUAUUGGGAGGAACACCAGUGGCGAAGGCGGCUCACUGGACCGGAACUGACGCUGAGGUGCGAAAGCUAGGGUAGCAAACGGG
rnacentral:rRNA from 1 species